rnacentral:rRNA from 1 species
GACGAACGCUGGCGGCGUGCUUAACACAUGCAAGUCGAACGGAAAGGCCCUGCUUUUGUGUGGUGCUCGCGUGGCGAACGGGUGAGUAACACGUGAGUAACCUGCCCUUGACUUUGGGAUAACUUCAGGAAACUGGGGCUAAUACCGGAUAGGAGCUCCUGCUGCAUGGUGGUGGUUGGAAAGUUUCGGCGGAGGGGGCUGGACUCGCGGCUUAUCAGCUUGUUGGUGGGGUAGUGGCUUACCAAGGCAUUGACGGGUAGCCGGCCUGAGAGGGUGAACGGCGACAAUGGUACUGAGAUAGGGCGCAGAGUCCUACGGGAGGCAGCAGUGGGGAAUAUUACACAAUGGGCGGAAGCCUGAUGCAGCAACGCCGCGAGCGGGAUGAAGGCCUUCGGGUUGGAAAGCGCUGUAGCCUGAGACGAAGCGUGAGUGACGGUAAUGGGUAAAGAAGCACCGGCUAACUACGUG